rnacentral:rRNA from 1 species
CAGCCGCCGCGGUAAAACGGAGGGGGCUAGCGUUGUUCGGAAUUACUGGGCGUAAAGCGCACGCAGGCGGCUAUUCAAGUCAGAGGUGAAAGCCCGGGGCUCAACCCCGGAACAGCCUUUGAAACUAGAUAGCUUGAAUCAUGGAGAGGUCAGUGGAAUUCCGAGUGUAGAGGUGAAAUUCGUAGAUAUUCGGAAGAACACCAGUGGCGAAGGCGGCUGACUGGACAUGUAUUGACGCUGAGGUGCGAAAGCGUGGGGAGCAAACAGGAUUAGAUACCCCCGUAGUCCCUGUCUCUUAUAC